UACGUAGGUGGCAAGCGUUGUCCGGAUUUACUGGGUGUAAAGGGCGUGUAGCCGGGUUGACAAGUCAGAUGUGAAAUCCUGCGGCUUGACCGCAGAACUGCAUUUGAAACUGUUGAUCUUGAGUACUGGAGAGGCAGACGGAAUUCCUAGUGUAGCGGUGAAAUGCGUAGAUAUUAGGAGGAACACCAGUGGCGAAGGCGGUCUGCUGGACAGCAACUGACGGUGAGGCGCGAAAGCGUGGGGAGCAAACAGG
rnacentral:rRNA from 1 species